rnacentral:rRNA from 1 species
GCUGUGGAACUCCUACGGGAGGCAGCAGUGGGGAAUAUUGCACAAUGGGCGCAAGCCUGAUGCAGCGACGCCGCGUGGGGGAUGAAGGCCUUCGGGUUGUAAACUCCUUUCGCUAGGGACGAAGCUUUUGUGACGGUACCUAGAUAAGAAGCACCGGCUAACUACGUGCCAGCAGCCGCGGUAAUACGGAGGGUGCAAGCGUUGUCCGGAUUUAUUGGGUUUAAAGGGUGCGUAGGCGGCUAUUUAAGUCAGCGGUGAAAGACUCCGGCUCAACCGGAGCAGUGCCAUUGAUACUGGAUAGCUUGAGUGUUGGAGGGGUACAUGGAAUUGAUGGUGUAGCGGUGAAAUGCAUAGAUACCAUCAGGAACACCGAUAGCGAAGGCAUGGUACUGGCCAACAACUGACGCUGAGGCACGAAAGCAUGGGGAGCAAACAGGAUUAGAAACCCGAGUAGUCCUACCACGU